GUCCAACUGAUGAGUCCAAAUAAGGACGAAACACGUGUCUUGGGC
rfam:Asian citrus Psyllid, Diaphorina citri - Florida Strain, whole genome shotgun sequence.